AGCCACGUCAGGCCACUCAUUCAAGAUGGACGAAGAAGGAGUGUAGCGCAGGACGUCACAAUGCGCCGAGUGGUUUCUGUAAACAUCUAAGGAUUAUUCAAGUUUGAACUAACCCGACUUUUGUUUUGGUAUCUCGGUAACACCCGCAACAAGAGUCUAGAUUAUCACCGUUUAGCCAGCAGGCUAGAUGAUGUGCUAGCCUCGGCUGUUUCAGCGACUCGUCUCGACAUGGCAGCGGGAGCAGGAGGCUCCUCCGGCGGCUCGUUCGAGUCCACUGUCGACAGGAAGUUUAUGAGCGUGACCAACACUCAGGACUCCAUACAGGGACUGUCUGCUUGGUGCAUCGCCAACAAGAACUACCACAGCGUCAUUGUCCGACACUGGCUGAAGUGUUUGAAGAGAUGUGAUUCCAGACACAAGCUCAACCUAUUCUUUCUUGCAAAUGACGUCAUUCAAAACUGCAAAAGGAAGAAUGCAAUCGUUUACCUGACAGCAUUUGCAGACGUUCUCCCAGAAGCCCUUGUUCAACUAAGCUACAAAGGUGAUGCUGCAGUGAUCAAAUCAGUGGACAGGAUACUCUCCAUUUGGAAUGAGAGAAGUGUGUAUUCUGGAUCGCUGAUCGCUGAACUACGCAAUAAGUUUUCCAAAGCUGAGUCUUCACCUGAGACAGGGGUGGAGCAGAAAACUCCACUUGAGCUGAAAGAUGAUCUACGGUCUAAGGUUGUUGCAGAGUUUGUGCCUCAGGCCCUGGUGGACAAACUGUCCUCGCACAUCCGAACCAUGCAGGAGGUGGAAUUGAAGGAGAGACAUUUGGCUUCGAUGCGAAUUGACAUCUGCAGCACGGAGGGGCUCAAGAAACUCAAAGAUAAAGCUGGAGGAAAGAAGUUCUCCAAGGAUUUUGAGGAGGGGAGUUCACUGCUGCGAGAGUUUGUUACCUUCUUUGACAAACAAAACAAAACAGGACCUGCUCUGUUAGAAGCUUUAAGCCAUGCUGACAUCUUCUAUGAGAUGCAGUACAAAGAGGUCAAGAUUGUGGCAAAUGCCUACCAGACAUUUGCCAACCGGGUCACGGUAUUGAAGCGUAAGCUUGACGCCCUGAAAGCCACGUUACCGGACUUUGACGAGUCCCCCAUCCCCUCACCUUCCAUGGAUGCACCUUCUCCAACUGGCUCAGAGUCACCGUUCCAUAAUCUGGGGGAUGAUAAACCUGCCAUGGACAUGAGUCCUGACGAGGCCUACGAUGAAGCACCAGCAGUGAGCCCACUCUCAAUCCUCGGAGGGUCGCCCCCGCCUGUGGGACAAACCGAUAACCGGGAGGUGGAGGACAUGGACCUGUCUGAUGUAGAAAUGGAUGACAAAGGAGCAAUGUUUGAGGAGCAUGCUUCAGUGCCGAGUCCGGCCCCUGAUCGCACCGAACCACCAGCACCAAACGCCCAAUCCACAGCCCCAACAAUUGCCCAUGCAGUGACGCAUGCAUCUUCAGUUCCACCGGCGGCCUCAGCUCCUGCAGCAGCUCUGUACACAAAUCCUGCUGCAGCAGUUCCUCAAGCUGCUCAAUAUGCAACUCCUGCUCCGGUAGCAGCUUUGGCCCCUGUGACAACUCCCACUCCAGCAGCUAAAGAUUUGGACUUUGGUAAAAUUGGGUCCAUUCUCAACAUCAUCAAUUCAGUCACCCCGAAAAUGCCAGUGGACAACUCACCUGCUGUGGCUGUUGGCGCCAACAUAAAUGAGACCUCAGCGCCUGCUGCUGCUCCUCGGGAACAGAAACCUGCAGUCAAGCCUUUCUUCCCAAAGGUCGACAUGAGCCCUGCUGAUCUGCUCAGCGCUUUGUCCAAAAUCCAAGGGAAAGGCAUCCAGGACGCCAUCAGUUCUCUUUUGAGCUGCCCGCCGACACACAUCCCUCCACUUUCCAACAGUUCAGGCAAGACUCCUUCUCCGUCUUCCACUCCAACACCUCAACAAUCACACCCUUCAGUUCCUACCUCAGUACCCCACUUGGCUUCUCAGAACAACCCAGCCACUAAUCUGGCAGAGGUGGUACAAAGAGACAGAGAUCUAAUGACCAAACCCCAAAUGAGCAGCUUUCAGGCUAAAGCAAGCACGCUGAAUGAGACUGCCAGUAACUUCCAGUAUAACUCUCCUGCUCUUGAGGGGAUCCAAACCAGAGAUACUCAAAGUGGCACACCUGUCCGUGAUGAGGGCGGGGGCACCCCAACUCAAGACGAGACUCUUGAUAAGCCGAUGGGGAAGGCAGUGUCUUCAGCUGCUGAAGAGUCUGCAGGUUCAACUUUGUUCCAGAGCAACAUGCAGCAGAAUGCUUAUCUUCCGCAGCAGCAGCAGCCCCAGAACGGCCAGCUGUACCAGUCCUUCCAGUACUCUCAACCAGCAGCCGCAGCUGCACCUUUGAAUCCAUAUUACCAAGCCAACUCUGCGCCAAGCGGCGGGCCAGUGACUGGAGAGUCGAGCAGCUACGGAAGCACAACACCCAGUCAGGGUACCCAGAGGGGAGGUCCCUGGCACGGCGGUACCUUCACAGAGGGGAGGUUUCAACAAGGUUACAACCCCACAGUUGGGGGUGCAGGAGAGAACCAGGGGUACAACGCAGAACAAGCCCAGCAAGUUCAGCAAAGAGCCUCUUCUGUCUUUGGGAGCGUCCUCCCUCCGGUUCCACAGAUGCCACCUCCCGGUAUCUUUGGUUUCAAUCCGAAUGAGAUGAAAGUGCCAGAAUUACCUCCCGCACCAAAUGCAUGUAUUGAGGAACCUGACAGGACCAGAGGUGAAGGUGGUGCGGACUUUCAGGACCAUGAGCAUAGACCCAUGCUGCCCAGAGAGCAGUUGCCCUAUGAUGGCCCAGUCCAUCAGCAGGACAAUCCACGUGGUUAUGAAGAGGAUAUGCAGUACCAUGACCAGGAGUACCUUGACAAUGAUUACUAUCAAGAUGGACAGUAUGCAAAUGAUCCAUACGAGCCUCCACCGAGGCCCCCCAACCCCGCCUUCAGGGCUCGAAUGCGCCUCCCUCCGCCUCACCCAGAUGACAUGUACCACCCUCAAGGCCACCACAGGCCUCGACCUCCUCUGCGCUACCCUCCGGGGAUGCCAGGCCCAGACCUGGGCAUGCAUCGCCCACGCACAAGACCCCCAAUGAGGCCUCCACACUUGGCUCAUCGGCCUCACCCUAGAGUGCACCCCUAUGCACCACGGUUCGAAGGGCCUGGUCCUAGACUGCGUGGGCCAUAUCCAGGUCCAAGAGGUGGGAGAGGCAUGGGUCCUUUAAGACCCUUCAAACCUCUACCAUAUUAACUGGACAGAGAUGUUCGCAAACCUUUGGGAGUGUCGUUCCGACCUGCCGGGGCCCAACCCACGCUGAAAGGAAGCAGGGCAUUGUUGUGUUGAGAUGAUGCAACCGUCGCGAGAAGCCAGAGCUGCUGAGAAGUGAAGACAGGAGAGAACAGAAAACAAGAGGGCUCGGAGACUUUGAAGUGUCGGAUCUGAUGAAGAGCCAUUUCCACUCUUGACUGAAGCGGGAGGAUGAUGGAGGCGAUGCUGUUUGAUGCUGUUAGCUGGAUUCCAGAGGACAAACACUUGAUUCGUGAACGCAGAAACUCCUGUGGAUGUGUUGAUUUGGUCAGCACCAAAAAGUGAUGGAUCAGCGACUUGGGGAAGCAAACUAGGAAUAGAAAGUUGGAGUACAUUGUUUGGCCCCGCUGCUAGUAUCACGCUGGUGAUUGGAGAACAUGAAUUGCACCACAGUGACCACUCAGCGGUUUGAUAGCCUGAGAUGGUACCUGCCUUCCAAGGAACGAGUCGCCCUGGGUCAGGUGAUGUCGGAGAAACUAUGAAUCAUCAAGCCAAACAAUCUUUCUCUAUUGCUCUCUGGUGCUGUUCUUGGGCUCACUUGCCUAAUGUCGGCCUUCUUGGCUGGGGGAGUAUCAUGCAAUAUAAUUUAUUGUUCUUCACUGUGUUCACACUCUUCUAUUGGUUCUUCCAUAAACUGCGUCACCUGAAACUCCAGGCCUAAAUGGAGGUUCAAGUUAUCUAUUUUGAAGAAGCCUGAUGAUCAAAAACACUGACACUCAAGUUCCAUCACCUUUAACAUUAAAAUGAAAUUGCAUUGUUUAUCCUGUUUUGUCAUGACUACAUUUUUUGCUUGAGCCUGCUGUGAUUAGGUUUUACACAUUUCCUUGAUACUUUUCAGAGAAUGGACACAGAGUUUCUUGUCAGUUGGAUCUGGUGACGUGAGUCACUCUUCAUGCCCCAUGUGGCUCUGACAGUCUUGCUCACAUGUGCUCCAGUUUUGGCAGCAGUGGAGCUGCUACUGUAAGUAUGAGGCAAACUGUCCUUAUGUUGAGGCUCAUUUGUAAUCUGUUUAAUUUAAAUUUAUUUUUUAAUGUAAUUAUUUAUUUAUUUAUAUUUAUUUAUAGAGAUACAAAACCGAUUUUGUUUUGGUAAGUCAGGAGUUUUUGAUAAAUGUGUUGCAGAUUUGUUAAAGCUCUCAUUCAUAUAUAGAGCUUUGGCCAUUUUUAUACAAACUAGAAAGUCCUGAGCACAGAACUCCUCAAAGAAUGUUAUUGUGAUUUUCUUUUUCUUGACCGAAUUCCAUGUAUGUCAUCUGUUUCAUGAGAUACGUCCGCACUUGAAAUAUCAUUAAUAAUCUAAUUCAAGUGAGAUCACUUGAACAGCAGGUGGCAGUAGCCUUCCGUUUGUCACUCGCACAAACACACCAUUCCUUCCCUGUUGCAGACCAUUUCCCUAUCAGUUAUUACUUCCAUGAUAUUGCUAUCUGGCUAGGUAACAAAUAUACUUAUUCUUUUUCAAAUUUAAAAAACAAAAACACCCCUAGAAACCAUGCCGCAUGCCUUUUUUUUUUUUAUAGUUUUUUUAUUCAUUUAUAUGACGCCAAUAUUUCGACGUGGUUUUUCCUGCUUUGUUGGUACAUAUUUACAUAUAUUCCGUGUCUGUAAAAUAAAAUCUCCGAGAUCGGAAUGAUUUAUUCGGAGUCGCCACAUGUUUUUAGUCUGUGUCCUUUUUAGAGUUGUGAAAUAGGUUUCGAGUGAAAUCAUGAGAAUUGAUGUCGCUAGAUGGCGCUGUGGGCGAAUGAAACGCAUCUAUUUUAGGACUGUUUGUUGUGAGUCCAUCCGGACUCGGCUUAACUCCAGAUGGUGGCUUGAACCAUAAAACCCCUCAGUCUGUCGACACCGUUCAGAAUCUGAAAAUGUUGCAGAGAUGCGUUUGUCUGAAGAAAAACAAUUCUCAACGAGCAGUGCGUGACUGUAAUUGGCGCAUGCGCGGUGUGUCCAGCGCGCUGUCAUGUGGGCUCAUUGUUUACAUGCUGCUCCAGGUGACAGAUGCAGGUUAGUGUCCAUGUUUCGGAGCAGAUCAGCGAUAGUGACGGGGCCCGCGUCGGCACCGCGCUUCUCUGACGGCCUGGACCGAGUCAGAACCACGGACAGCUCCUCAAGCAGAACAAAAGGCGGACUUGCGUAGCUUGAUGUUAGGGAGUGUCUGCAAUGAGGAGAAAACGUAAAAUGCAUAAAGUCGUCGUAAUCCCACUCGCAUAUUUGUGUUAUAAUAACAACGAGGAGUUAGAAUAGUGAAAAGAGAGAAACAUAGAUUUGUGUCUGAAUUUGUUUGCUUCAUACCUUUCUCAAGUCUAAUUGAUAUUGCUACUAAUUGUCCUGUACGUUUCUAAUUGCUUCUUAAUACAGUGCAUAGUUGAACUCAACAGGAUGUUACAUAUCCAGUACAAUCAAACAUCCAUAUUUUCAUCCCUUGCUGAAAUGUGUUACAUUUCAAAGCGCCUGUGUUUGAGGUAUCUCCUUUGAAACAUGAAUUAUAUUAUUAUUAUUAUAUAAAUUAUAUAUAAUAUAAUUAUAAAUACAAAAUAAAUAUUUCACCGCGAUGAUCUACCUUAACUUGCAAAGAAAAUAUGCCUCAGGGCAGAUUUACUGAUAGUUUGUACCCACUGGAAUGUGCAAAACAGCUGCAAAAUGGGGUCUGGCACCCAGAUAGUACAUUUGCAACACCAAAAUAUGAAAUUUGUGGCAUUCGCAUGUAUUAUGAUGUUUUCUGAGUGGCAGAAAUCCACAUUUUUUCCUGAGUCUUUUAACUUGAGAGCAAUUUCAUGAGUGCAAAUUGUAUCUU